GGUGCAGCAAUGCCGGGUCUACCGCGGGGGUAAGUGGCCUCAUGGAGCAGUGGGUGUGCCAGACCAAGAAGGCAUCUCAGAUGCAGACUUUGUUCUUUACGUUGGUGCUCUGGCCACUGAGAGAUGCAGCCAUGAAAACAUCAUCUCUUAUGCAGCCUAUUGUCAGCAGGAAGCAAACAUGGACAGGCCAAUAGCAGGAUAUGCUAACCUGUGUCCAAAUAUGAUCUCUACCCAGCCUCAGGAGUUUGUUGGGAUGCUGUCCACAGUGAAACAUGAGGUUAUUCAUGCCCUGGGUUUCUCUGCUGGGCUGUUUGCAUUCUACCAUGAUAAAGAUGGAAAUCCUCUCACUUCAAGAUUUGCAGAUGGCCUCCCACCUUUUAAUUAUAGUCUGGGAUUAUAUCAAUGGAGUGAUAAAGUAGUUCGAAAAGUGGAGAGAUUAUGGGAUGUUCGAGAUAAUAAGAUAGUUCGUCACACUGUGUAUCUCCUGGUAACGCCUCGUGUUGUUGAGGAAGCACGAAAACAUUUUGAUUGUCCAGUUCUAGAGGGAAUGGAACUUGAAAAUCAAGGUGGUAUGGGCACUGAGCUCAACCAUUGGGAAAAAAGGUUAUUAGAGAAUGAAGCGAUGACUGGUUCUCACACUCAGA
rnacentral:sRNA from 1 species